rnacentral:rRNA from 1 species
UGGGGAAUAUUGCACAAUGGGCGCAAGCCUGAUGCAGCCAUGCCGCGUGUGUGAAGAAGGCCUUCGGGUUGUAAAGCACUUUCAGCGAGGAGGAAGGUGGUGGACUUAAUACGUUCAUCAAUUGACGUUACUCGCAGAAGAAGCACCGGCUAACUCCGUGCCAGCAGCCGCGGUAAUACGGAGGGUGCAAGCGUUAAUCGGAAUUACUGGGCGUAAAGCGCACGCAGGCGGUUUGUUAAGUCAGAUGUGAAAUCCCCCGGGCUCAACCUGGGAACUGCAUUUGAAACUGGCAAGCUAGAGUCUCGUAGAGGGGGGCUAGAAUUCCAGGUGUAGCGGUGAAAUGCGUAGAGAUCUGGAGGAAUACCGGUGGCGAAGGCGGCCCCCCUGGACGAAGACUGACGCUCAGGUGCGAAAGCGUGGGGGCAGCAAACAGGAUUAGAUACCCCU